AUUUAAGCAAAAUACAAUACUAUCUUUUCCGGAAUAAAAUAAAGGGUAAUAUUAGUAGAUAACCAAAUAAAACAUACAAAUUAAGAAACUAGCAGAGAGAAAGUUUUUUUUACAAAAUAACCAUGGACCCACGUUGUCGGAAGAAAGAAAAUAACAAAGCUACCCUUCAUUUGUUGAAAGAUGAACAGUAAACGAAACACAUCCGUGUAAUUUUUCAAAAUAGCAUGUAACAUUAAAAUUUCACAUGUUAUAUUUAGUUUAAAAACAUGCUAUUUCAAAAAACGUUAUGAAUUUUUAAGAAAAAACAUUAUUAUGAAAUUCUUUUACAUGAACAGAAUCUUAAAAAAAA
rnacentral:sRNA from 1 species